rnacentral:rRNA from 1 species
GUCCACGCCCUAAACGAUGUCAACUGGUUGUUGGACGGCUUGCUGUUCAGUAACGAAGCUAACGCGUGAAGUUGACCGCCUGGGGAGUACGGCCGCAAGGUUGAAACUCAAAGGAAAUUGACGGGGACCCGGCACAAGCGGUGGAUGAUGUGGUUUAAUUCGAUGCAACGCGAAAACCUUAACCUACCCUUGACAUGUCUGGAAGUUUCUAGAGAUAGAUUCGUGCUCGAAAGAGAACCAGAACACAGGUGCUGCAUGGCCGUCGU